GACGAACGCUGGCGGCGUGCUUAACACAUGCAAGUCGAGCGGUAAGGCCCUUUCGGGGGUACACGAGCGGCGAACGGGUUGAGUAACACGUGGGUGACCUGCCCUCAGCUCUGGGAUAAGCCUGGGAAACCGGGUCUAAUACUGGAUAUGACUCCAUGACGCAUGUUGUGGGGUGGAAAGCCUUGUGCGGCUGAGGAUGGGCCCGCGGCCUAUCAGCUUGUUGGUGGGGUGAUGGCCUACCAAGGCGACGACGGGUAGCCGGCCUGAGAGGGCGACCGGCCACACUGGGACUGAGACACGGCCCAGACUCCUACGGGAGGGCAGCAGUGGGGAAUCUUGCGCAAUGGGCGAAAGCCUGACGCAGCGACGCCGCGUGAGGGAUGACGGCCU
rnacentral:rRNA from 1 species